AUAAUUCCACAUAUUGUGCCUUAAAAGGAUAACUUACUCUCUCUUUGUUUUUGUAUAUUGUGUACUGGUAUAUCUUAUGAUCAUACAGAUAACAAGCAACACUUCUCCCCAAGAAAUGGUAGAGGAUCUGGUUCCUGUUAGUAGCAUAGGAAUAUAGGGUUGGUGUGUGAUUGGAAUGAUAUGUUGGAUACUUAUAUUUUGGAAGACUGGUAAAUGAGUUACCUUAGAUGUUAUGUUUGUGUUAUGGUUUUGUGUAUUGUGGGCACCCUAUUGUAAGGAUGAAAUUAACUUCUGAUACUCUAGGAACGCAG
rnacentral:lncRNA from 1 species